rnacentral:rRNA from 1 species
UUAAGCGACUAAGCGUACACGGUGGAUGCCUAGGCAAUCAGAGGCGAUGAAGGACGUGCUAAUCUGCGAUAAGCGUCGGUAAGGUGAUAUGAACCGUUACAACCGACGAUUUCCGAAUGGGGAAACCCAGUGCAAUUCGUUGCACUAUCGUUUGAUGAAUACAUAGUCAAACGAAGCGAACCGGGGGAACUGAAACAUCUCAGUACCCCGAGGAAAAGAAAUCAACCGAGAUUCCCCUAGUAGCGGCGAGCGAACGGGGAGCAGCCCAGAGUCUUAAUCAGCAUUAGCAUCAGGAGAACGGUCUGGAAAGUCCGGCAGUAAAGGGUGAUAGCCCCGUAUCCGAAGGUGUUAGUGUUGUGAACUCGACGAGUAGGGCGGGACACGUGUUAUCCUGUCUGAAUAUGGGGGGACCAUCCUCCAAGGCUAAAUACUCCUGAUUGACCGAUAGUGAACCAGUACCGUGAGGGAAAGGCGAAAAGAACCCCGGCGAGGGGAGUGAAAUAGAACCUGAAACCGUGUACGUACAAGCAGUGGGAGCCUUGAUUUAUCAGGGUGACUGCGUACCUUUUGUAUAAUGGGUCAGCGACUUAUAUUCUGUAGCAAGGUUAACCGUAUAGGGGAGCCGUAGGGAAACCGAGUCUUAACUGGGCGAAUAAGUUGCAGGGUAUAGACCCGAAACCCGGUGAUCUAGCCAUGGGCAGGUUGAAGGUUGGGUAACACUAACUGGAGGACCGAACCGACUAAUGUUGAAAAAUUAGCGGAUGACUUGUGGCUGGGGGUGAAAGGCCAAUCAAACCGGGAGAUAGCUGGUUCUCCCCGAAAGCUAUUUAGGUAGCGCCUCGUGAACUCAUCUUCGGGGGUAGAGCACUGUUUCGACUAGGGGGUCAUCCCGACUUACCAACUCGAUGCAAACUACGAAUACCGAAGAAUGUUAUCACGGGAGACACACGGCGGGUGCUAACGUUCGUCGUGAAGAGGGAAACAACCCAGACCGCCAGCUAAGGUCCCAAAGUCAUAGUUAAGUGGGAAACGAAGUGGGAAGGCUCAGACAGCCAGGAUGUUGGCUUAGAAGCAGCCAUCAUUUAAAGAAAGCGUAAUAGCUCACUGGUCGAGUCGGCCUGCGCGGAAGAUGUAACGGGGCUAAACUAUGCACCGAAGCUGCGGCAGCGAUAUUUAGAUAUUGUUGGGUAGGGGAGCGUUCUGUAAGCCUGUGAAGGUGUGCUGUGAGGCAUGCUGGAGGUAUCAGAAGUGCGAAUGCUGACAUAAGUAACGAUAAUGCGGGUGAAAAACCCGCACGCCGGAAGACCAAGGGUUCCUGUCCAACGUUAAUCGGGGCAGGGUGAGUCGACCCCUAAGGCGAGGCAGAAAUGCGUAGUCGAUGGGAAACGGGUUAAUAUUCCCGUACUGGUGAUAAUUGCGAUGGGGGGACGGAGAAGGCUAGGCUAUCCGGGCGACGGUUGUCCCGGUUUAAGGAUGUAGGCAGGUGAAUUAGGCAAAUCCGGUUCACUAUAUGCUGAGGUCCGAUGACGAGUCACUACGGUGAUGAAGUAGCUCAUGCCCCGCUUCCAGGAAAAGCCUCUAAGCUCUAGAUUAUCAUUAAUCGUACCCCAAACCGACACAGGUGGUCAGGUAGAGAAUACUCAGGCGCUUGAGAGAACUCGGGUGAAGGAACUAGGCAAAAUGGUGCCGUAACUUCGGGAGAAGGCACGCUGGCAUUAGGUGAAGUGAUUUACUCAUGGAGCUGAAGCCAGUCGCAGAUACCAGCUGGCUGCAACUGUUUAUUAAAAACACAGCACUGUGCAAACACGAAAGUGGACGUAUACGGUGUGACGCCUGCCCGGUGCUGGAAGGUUAAUUGAUGGGGUUAUCCGUAAGGAGAAGCUCUUGAUCGAAGCCCCAGUAAACGGCGGCCGUAACUAUAACGGUCCUAAGGUAGCGAAAUUCCUUGUCGGGUAAGUUCCGACCUGCACGAAUGGCGUAAUGAUGGCCAGGCUGUCUCCACCCGAGACUCAGUGAAAUUGAACUCGCUGUGAAGAUGCAGUGUACCCGCGGCAAGACGGAAAGACCCCGUGAACCUUUACUAUAGCUUGACACUGAACAUUGAGCCUUGAUGUGUAGGAUAGGUGGGAGGCUUUGAAGCGUGGACGCCAGUCUGCGUGGAGCCAACCUUGAAAUACCACCCUUUAAUGUUUGAUGUUCUAACGUUGCCCCGUUAUCCGGGGUGCGGACAGUGUCUGGUGGGUAGUUUGACUGGGGCGGUCUCCUCCCAAAGAGUAACGGAGGAGCACGAAGGUUGGCUAAGCAUGGUCGGACAUCAUGCGGUUAGUGCAAAGGCAUAAGCCAGCUUGACUGCGAGAGUGACGGCUCGAGCAGGUACGAAAGUAGGUCUUAGUGAUCCGGUGGUUCUGAAUGGAAGGGCCAUCGCUCAACGGAUAAAAGGUACUCCGGGGAUAACAGGCUGAUACCGCCCAAGAGUUCAUAUCGACGGCGGUGUUUGGCACCUCGAUGUCGGCUCAUCACAUCCUGGGGCUGAAGUAGGUCCCAAGGGUACGGCUGUUCGCCGUUUAAAGUGGUACGCGAGCUGGGUUUAGAACGUCGUGAGACAGUUCGGUCCCUAUCUGCCGUGGGCGUUGGAAGAUUGAAAGGGGCUGCUCCUAGUACGAGAGGACCGGAGUGGACGCACCACUGGUGUUCGGGUUGUCAUGCCAAUGGCAUUGCCCGGUAGCUAAGUGCGGAAGAGAUAACCGCUGAAAGCAUCUAAGCGGGAAACUUGCCUUGAGAUGAGUCUUCCCUGACUCUUUAAGGGUCCUAAAGGAACGUUUAAGACUAAGACGUUGAUAGGUUGGGUGUGUAAGCGUAGCGAUACGUUGAGCUAACCAAUACUAAUGAACCGUGAGGCUUAACCUG